rnacentral:tRNA from 1 species
GUUUUAAUAAUUUAAAAAAAAUACUGAUUUUGUAAUUCAGAUUUAAGAAUAUUCUUUUAAAACU